GCCGAUGUAGCUCAGCUGGCAGAGCGGCACACUCGUAAUGUGCAGGUCGCGGGUUCAACUCCCGCCAUCGGCC
rnacentral:tRNA from 1 species